CUAUCCAUGAGCAGGCUGAAGCGGUGGUAAGACACCGUGGAGGGCCGCACCCACGUCUGUUGAAAAAGCCGGGGAUGACUUGUGGAUAGCGGAGAAAUUCCAAUCGAACUCGGAGAUAGCUGGUUCUCCCCGAAAUAGCUUUAGGGCUAGCGUUAUUUUAGAUUACCGGAGGUAAAGCACUGAAUGGUCUAGGGGCCGCGAGGUUACCAAAGCCUAUCAAACUCUGAAUGCCGGAUAAUUGAUGAAUAGCAGUCAGACUGUGUGAGAUAAGUCUCAUAGUCAAAAGGGAAACAGCCCAGAUCUACAGCUAAGGUCCCAAAUGAACACUAAGUGGAAAAUGAUGUGAAACUGCGAAGACAACCAGGAUGUUGGCUUAGAAGCAGCCACUCAUUCAAAGAGUGCGUAAUAGCUCACUGGUCGAGUGGUUUUGCGCAGAAAAUGUAACGGGGCUAAGUGUUCAACCGAAGCUUAGGCAUUGUACUUUGUACAUUGGGUAGGGGAGCGUCGUAUGCGGGGCGAAGUCAGAGCGGAAGCACUGGUGGACUGCAUACGAGUGAGAAUGCCGGAAUAAGUAGCGAGAAUUAUGUGAGAAUCAUAAUGGCCGAAAAUCUAAGGUUUCUUGGGGAAGGUUCGUCCGCCCAAGGUUAGUCGGGAGCUAAGCUCAGGCCGAAAGGCGUAGGCGAUGCACAUACGGUAGAAAUUCCGUAACCACCGAACAUUUAAGCUAGAGGGACGCUUUCUUUAAGGUUAUCCCGGGCGAUGGUUGCCCCGGGCGUAAGGGACCGAAAUAUAGUAGGGAAGUAACUGGCGAGAGAGACGAGAAAAGCUCUAGUGUAUACUAAGGUGCCCGUACCGCAAACCGACACAGGUAGAUGGGAUGAGUAUUCUAAGGCCAACGGGAGAAGGGUUGUUAAGGAACUCGGCAAAUUGGCCCCGUAACUUCGGGAUAAGGGGCGCCUGCGAGAGCAGGCCGCAGUGAAAAGGCCCAAGCGACUGUUUAGCAAAAACACAGCUCUCUGCUAAAUCGAAAGAUGACGUAUAGGGGGUGACGCCUGCCCGGUGCUGGAAGGUUAAGGGGAGUGCUUAGCGCAAGCGAAGGUGCGAACUUAAGCCCCAGUAAACGGCGGCCGUAACUAUAACGGUCCUAAGGUAGCGAAAUUCCUUGUCAGGUAAGUUCUGACCCGCACGAAUGGCGUAACGAUUUGGGCACUGUCUCAACAGCCCGCCCGGCGAAAUUGUAGUACCGGUGAAGAUGCCGGUUUCCCGCAACUAGACGGAAAGACCCCAUGGAGCUUCACUGUAGCUUGAUAUUGGAUCUCGGUAUUCCAUGUACAGGAUAGGUGGGAGGCUAGGAAGCGAGCGCGCCAGCGUUCGUGGAGCCAACCUUGGGAUACCACUCUUGGGAUAUUGGGAUUCUAACCUGCGACCAUGAAUCUGGUCGGGGGACACUGUCAGGUGGGCAGUUUGACUGGGGCGGUCGCCUCCAAAA
rnacentral:rRNA from 1 species